rnacentral:tRNA from 1 species
GUUUUUGUAGUUGAAUCACAACGAUAGUUUUUCGAGCUGUGAGUCCUGGUUAGAGUCCAGGCAGAAAUA